rnacentral:rRNA from 1 species
GUGAACGCUGGCGGUAGGCCUAACACAUGCAAGUCGAACGGCAGCACAGUAAGAGCUUGCUCUUACGGGUGGCGAGUGGCGGACGGGUGAGGAAUACAUCGGAAUCUACUUUUUCGUGGGGGAUAACGUAGGGAAACUUACGCUAAUACCGCAUACGACCUACGGGUGAAAGCAGGGGAUCUUCGGACCUUGCGCGAUUGAAUGAGCCGAUGUCGGAUUAGCUAGUUGGCGGGGUAAAGGCCCACCAAGGCGACGAUCCGUAGCUGGUCUGAGAGGAUGAUCAGCCACACUGGAACUGGGACACGGUCCAGACUCCUACGGGAGGCAGCAGUGGGGAAUAUUGGACAAAGGGCGCAAGCCUGAUCCAGCCAUACCGCGUGGGUGAAGAAGGCCUUCGGGUUGUAAAGCCCUUUUGUUGGGAAAGAAAAGCAGCAGGUUAAUACCCCGCUGUUCUGACGGUACCCAAAGAAUAAGCACCGGCUAACUUCGUG